rnacentral:rRNA from 1 species
UGAACGCUAGCUACAGGCUUAACACAUGCAAGUCGAGGGGCAGCAUGGUCUUAGCUUGCUAAGGCCGAUGGCGACCGGCGCACGGGUGAGUAACACGUAUCCAACCUGCCGUCUACUCUUGGACAGCCUUCUGAAAAGGAAGAUUAAUACAAGAUGGCAUCAUGAGUCCACAUGUUCACAUGAUUAAAGGUAUUCCGGUAGACGAUGGGGAUGCGUUCCAUUAGAUAGUAGGCGGGGUAACGGCCCACCUAGUCUUCGAUGGAUAGGGGUUCUGAGAGGAAGGUCCCCCACAUUGGAACUGAGACACGGUCCAAACUCCUACGGGAGGCAGCAGUGAGGAAUAUUGGUCAAUGGGCGAGAGCCUGAACCAGCCAAGUAGCGUGAAGGAUGACUGCCCUAUGGGUUGUAAACUUCUUUUAUAAAGGAAUAAAGUCGGGUAUGGAUACCCGUUUGCAUGUACUUUAUGAAUAAGGAUCGGCUAACUCCGUG